rnacentral:lncRNA from 1 species
CGUGCAUGCCCACUAGGGCGUGUCACACUCAGAAGCGCGAAACUCAACCGACCCCGCCCCUACCCCACCCACUCCUCACCCAGCAUCCAUAAAAGCAUGCUGCACCUUUGGCACAGCGCGACUUCCCUGGCCCUCCCCCUGCGGACCAGUGAACCUCGCCCGAGGGCUCAAUAAAGAAGAUUUUUGCCCUCUUUUUCUCACCUCUCAGCCUUAUUGAUCCAUGGUGCCCUUCCAUUGCCUUUCAUUGGUGCCGAAACCCGGGAGGGGACACCUCCUAAGCCCCCCCAGAGGCUCAGGGGGACUCCCCUCCUGGUCGGAUCAGUCCUCUCCCUCAGUCAGGUCAGGCUUCUCCUCCACGGCCAUCUGUCCAUUUCGUCCGGUUACUUGCUGCCAGGUCGCAGUUGCUGCAGCUACUCCAGUCCAAUUCGGCCGACGCUAGUUGCCUGGCUGCAAUAUACCUUGGACAACCAAUCUCGCUGGCCCCCCAAAGGCACACUCGACUUCAAUAUCCUAAACGACCUUACCAAUUUUUGUCAGAGGCGAGGCAAAUAGUCAAAAAUCAAAUUUGUUCAAAGGUUCUGGGACCUCCGCUCUCGUCGGACCGCUGCCGCCAAGUGUUUUCGCUGGCACAAGUCCCUGUGGCUAGCCUUCCCCUUGAAGUCUGGCCAGCCUCUCUUGCCGUUAAUCCUGUCCGGGGCCCCCAUCUUAGUCUCUCUGCCGCCAUCUCCUUCUGCACUGCCGCCAUCUUACUACCUGCUUCCUCACUGCCGCCAUCUUACUUCCUUUUUUCUCUGCUGCCAUUUUAGUUCUUCUGCCACCAUUCGGCUGCCAUUUUAAUUCCCAUUAGUUCCCAUUUGUUCUUUUAACCCUGCCCAGCUAACUCCUUGGCUUCCAUCUUACCCGCAUUCUUAUUUCCACCUGCCUAUAGUGCCAUACCAGUCCACUGCAUCUACAACUCCUAACACAUUCGCUGCGGGCAGUGAUAUCCACUAAUCCUGGAUGAGGCAGCGGAGGGCCCCCAAACCCCUAUCCAGGACUUAGUAAAGCUGGCGUUCAAAGUUUUUAAUUCCUGAGAGGAGGCGGCUGAGGUACAACGACAGGCAAGCCUGAAACAAAAAGUUCAGCUCCAAACCCAAGCCCUGGCAGCUGCCCUGCAACCGGCAUUCCCUAAGAGCCGCGGCAGGAGAGGUAGAGGUACAAUCUCCCGGGCCCCGUCUGGCGUCUGCUUCAAGUGAGGCAACUCAGGACACUGGGCCAGCCGGUGCCCUAGCCAACAGCAACCGUCCUGCCCGCCUUGCAACUGUUUCAAGUGUGGCAAUCCAGGUCAUUGGGCAAAACAGUGCCCAAACCCCAAGCCGCCAACACACCCGUGCCCUAACUGCCAACAAAUGGAGCACUGGAGGUCAGACUGCCCCAGCCUCGGAGCGGCCGCUGUGGCUCCACAUGGCGACCCCUCCCUGGAUGGCGAAGGUGCCCUCUAGCUCCUCCAACUGGAUGACGACUGAAGAGGCCCAGGCUCGGGAACCCCUCUCACCCUUGCCGAGCCCAGGGUAAUGCUUCAGGUAGCGGAUCAACUGAGAUGCAAAACCCAUGUUCACAUCAUGAGUGAGUCUUCUAACUCGGACAAUGCAAUCAACAAAUUCUAAGACCAAAUUCCGGUGGCACUGGCUCCAAAGCUCCUGAGUGUGGAAGGAGGUGAACAGGGAAAAGCAGAGAGGACAAAAGUCACAUCCCCUCCCCACAGACCCAUACUGGGGAAGGGUGGAAGAUUUAGCUGCGAGUCAAGUUCAGAAUUUUGAUUAACAUCUUGGCAUGCACAUUCGAAUUUCAGAAUCAAGACUGUUGGCCAUAAAAAAUGACUAUAGCCUUGUGUAUUACCUGAACUGAGCAGUAAAAAAAAAGUCAUGGUCCUUCUGGGGCUUUUAUUCUGAGACAGGAACCCUGAACAGGCAGGAGAAAGGGAAUGUUGACAGAGAAACAAAGACAGUUGGCGACACACGCUGACCGCCAUGCGGACGUCCAUCAAACCCAGCACUGGCCCUGGGUACGUGCGCCUUUGCUAUUACCCCAAUACAUUUUCUUCUGCAGAGCAAGCAACAGAACACAUGCAGACCUUAAUAAAUACCACUGGGUAAUGUGACAAUGGCCAAACUCUCCUCACGGGGGAGAGAGUGUCCCCCAGUUUUGCUCCCUUUUAAUUUCCAGGGUUCAUAAGUAGCUCUAAAGCUUUGCUCUACAAGGUUGAUACAUACGAUAUUAAUGUUUCCCCUAAGCAGUAUAACAUAAAUAUAUUUGCUAUCUUGACAUUCUGGGUUUGGUUUUUCAGUGUUGGCGUAAGUGGGUUUUAUACUUUCUGGAACAAGAGUUCAUCACCAAAGGGAAAAUGCUGUCCACCCCACCCUCUUUGAAAGAAAAGGCUCAGCCCAUAGUUCUCCAGAUGAAAGAAAUGUACCUAAUCAGCUAUUUCCUGUUGCUUGAUUGGAUGUUAACAAUGGAGAUAGACACACAGCUAAUUGUGGUGGCACAGCAGGAAGCCUAAUUCACUUUGCUGUAGAAAUGCCCACACAGAGAAAGUGGGAGAUGGCUGCACAAGAGGCCCCAUAGGCAGGCAAAUGCUUACUGCAGUUUCUUUCCCAAACAUUUCCAAAUAGACCAAAUAAACAUGAAUUUGCUCACUGUAGUUUAUAUUCCAAAUAAAAAUGAAUUUCUGGCCAGGCGCGGUGGCUCAUGCCUGUAAUCCAGCACUUUCGGAGGCCAAGGCAGGUGGAUCACAAAGUCAGGAGUUUGAGACCAGCCUGGCCAAUAUGGUGAAACCCCAUCUCUACUUAAAAUACAAAAAUUAGCCUGGCGUGGUGGCAGGUGCCUGUAAUCCCAGCUACUCAAGAGGCUGAGGCUGGAAAAUCACUUGAACCUGGGAAGCAGAGGUUGCAGUGAGCUGAGAGGGUGCCAUUGCACUCUAGCCUGGGUGACAGAGCAAGACUUGGUCUCAAAAAAAAAAAAAAGAAUUUCGCCACGCUCCGCAGACACAGGCAUUCCACACCCUUGUCCAGACUGGUCCCAGGGGAAAGAAUCUCCAGGCUAAAGAGCCGUGGUCUUCCAGGGCCUCUGGCCAGGUAUCUCAAUGUCUUCACCCAUGUGAAUUCUGGACAAGGGCUUCCUACCACAUCCCCAAGUUUGCCCUUCCCCCCAUACCCUGACCUCCAUUUCUCUACUUUACCUCUCCCAGCCCACCAUGGGACCAUGUGAUCAGCCACAUAGGCAUAAACUAGCACACAGCUACCUUAGGGUAGGGCCCUCUAGGGUGGCCAGGUGGCUACCUCACAAAUCAGUCUAUGGCUCUCACAGAAACUAGAAUUUGCUUGGGCAAGAGGUAUCAAGAGCAUUAGAAAUAUUUAUACUUUUUCAUUCAGUAAUGGUAUAAUCUGAAUCUGGGCUGAGAGUCUAAGAAUAUUGAGCUGUGUGAGAAUGCACACAGCUGUUUAUUACAUUUUUUUAAGUAAUGGAAAAAUUGGCUAGAAUUUAAAUAUACACCAGUAGGGUAGAUGUUUAAUAAACUAUGAUUUAUCCAACUUACAGACUACUGGACAGCCAUAAAAUGAUAGUUAGACUAAUUUUUGCCAUGCUUUAUCUUUUAAUAUUCUUACGUAAUUCCAUCUCAUUAUUUCAUCUGGCUUUUAUUAAACAGUAAAUAUAAUACUAACUGUAAUUACAAUACUAACUGUAAUUACCAGUGGUUACUUUAACUACCUUUCUGUGUUUUCCUAAUUUUUAUGAUCACCAUGAAUUUCUGUACUGGGGAAAUAAGCAAACUCUUUAUAAGGUGUUGGGACACGUAAAGGACAUUUUCACAGCACUCUGCAAUGUCCUGGCUCCUUGACUGAAAAAAGAAUGAGUUUGCUCAGGCCUCAGCCUCCUGGAGUCCCAGACUGGAGCCAUUGUGGUUAAUAUCUGUAAGUUUGGUUUUUGUUUUUCUCAGGUGCUCCACUGAAGCUCAUCCACACACACACACAAUACACACUGAUGCUUAUAACACACCUGGCCCUGUGUUAAUAAGUAGCCUGGUAUAAACUUGGGAAGCAGAAAGAAGGAAAAAGACUGCAGCAGCAGGCACAAUGUGGCUGAAACCCCUUCCAGGAGAAGAGAGCGAGCGAGAGGGAGGAUUGAGGACAGAUGCAGAGGGCAGAAAGAACUCUUUACGUCUGGCCAAGUAUGGGGCAGCUACACUGAGUCCUUUCUGCCAGAUGAAGGCAGGGAAUAGUCCCAGUCAAAGCAUUGCUGUGAAGUUUCCCUGGUGACUUCAGAGUUUCUGUGUCUACCACCCCCAGCCUGGUUAACACAGCGCUCUGUAAUAAAGUCUAAAAUUCUAAAUGAUAGCAAAGAGCAGCUUGCAUUAUCUUUUCUCCCUGGAGGAUAAAUAGGACCCCUUGCAUCUAGUUGUUUGUAGGUAAGAAGCUGGCAAGAGUCAAGACAGGUAGGACCCUAUAAAGGUUAGGAAGAAAACCACUGCUUCCUCACACACAGCAUGUCCCCAAGCCAGCCAGCCCUGCCUCCCUUCUAGAACCUGCCCCCGAGCUUCCCUGGAGAAGCCCUUCGCCAAGUCUUCCCAUCAGUGAGUUUCAAUCAUCACUGAGGUCUUGGUUCAAAAGUCACACCCUCAGGAAGUCCUUUCUGAGCUCUCCUAAGUAACGAACCUGAUUCCCCUCCACAUUGCAUCUCCAUCUUGCAAUUUCUUCAGAGCACUCACCGUGUCUUAAAUUAUCUAGUUUGUUUAUCUUAUUUAUUUUGAAGCUCCCCUCUAAAAAUAAGUUUAGUGAGGGCAGAGAACCCCCAGUUCAUGUCCACAUUCCUGGUCUGGCCCAUAAUGGGCACUGAACAAAUAUUUCUUGUAGAGGGUGUGGAUUUUGGCAGCAGAAUGUGCCAUGCACUCAGGCUCUGCUGUGCGUCCUCAAUCCUGGCCUUUAAUAGUGCCUCUGUUUCUCCUGGUCUCAACCCUUGCACUCUCUGAGAGGAGAUUGGCCACUUCAGUUUUCUGUCUUGAAGAUUAUGAUACUACACAGAGGCAGGCUAAGUACUAGGAGACCCAGGAUCUGCUUUCAGUUUUUCUAUAUCUCAUUCUAACUGUUACCAGUGGCAAAUCUGUAUGGGUCUGCAGCAACUCAGUUCUUGCCUCCUCAGAAGAAAGAAUUCAACCAAGGGGCAUAAGGCAGAGUGAGAGACCAAGGCAAGUUUUAGAGCAGGAAAGUUUAUUAAAAAGUUUUAGAGCAGGAACAAAAGAAAGUAAGGUACACUUAGAAGAGAGCCAAGCAGGUGACUUGAGAGAUUCAAGUGUGCUGUUUGAUCUUUAACUUGAAGUUUUAUGUAUUGAGAUGCUUCUGGGGUUGUGUUACUUCUCCCCGUUACUUCUUUUGGGGUAGGCUGUCUGCAUGCUCAGUGGCCUGCCAGCACUUGGGAGGGGCUGCAAGCACAGUGUGUUUGCUGAAGUUGUACACAGGCUUAGUUGAGGCAUUUUUCUCAUACCAGUCAGGCGUUCCUAGAAGAAGGUCAUUUACCUGUUAACACUGCCAUUCAGCUCUUAGUGUGCAUGCUUGAGCCCACUCACCCAACUCCUGAGAUCUUAUUGGGAAGCUGCUGGUCAUCAACUUCAGUUGUUUUUCAUCUAUUGGGAGAUACUGUUCCCUGGCACCAGCUGCAGCCAAUUAUUAUUUUAGCAAGACAGAUAACAACCACCUGACCAUAACCUGAUAGUCACCUGACAUUCCUGGGUUGGGCAGGGACCUCUCCUGCCCUGCUCAUGUCUGCCUAACUACCUACUCUAACAUUUCCCCCCUCAAGAGUUCAAGACCCAAUUUGUUGGGAAAGGUCAGUCUUUUGUAACUGCUUCCUGCUGACAGAGAGGUGGUGGUGGUUGUUCUGUGGGUCUUAUUCUCUUGCUAGCUGUUAGGGCAUGGUUGCUUCGUGGGUUAGUGAAAGCAGUAUCCAGCCAGGUCCGAGAGAGACAGGGGCAGGAUUUUGCCUCUGUCGUGUCCCACAGAUGGGCAGUUGAGGGGUCCUCUGUAGAAGUGUGACUCAAAUAUUGAGAGGAUAUUAUCCCUCACUGAGGAUCAUCUGGUGAUUGAUGGCCCAUCCCUCUUGUUUCUUCUGAGCCUCAGCCAUGGAUCACUGGUUGGUUCACAGGAAUAAGCAGAGUCAGUCUAACUUGCAGAGGAAAAAAACUCAAAAACAACUGAUGAGACUAGAAUCAAAUUACAGGUGUACCACAAUUCUCAAGACAUAAUUUUUCUCUUUGCAGUCCUCAUUCUUAUUAAAAACAAAUUAUCACAGGACUGAUUUGUUUCCAAAAUAAACUUCAGUCAUGUUAUACUUGGCCUGUUAUUUGCAUAAAGCACAGCAAGAAUAAUUAUUUGUUACAUAGGUUCCUUUUUAAAUUGGCUUUGAUGGAACUUUGUUCCAUAAGGAAUCUUGGAUAAAACUUUUAAAAGUCUUGAGCCCAGGCAUGGGAUUGUGCCACCAAAUAACUGUAUGAGUUGGAUGAAUUCCUCCCUCUUGAGGUCCCAAGACAACUUGGGGCCCCUGGGCCUGUCAGAACGUGACAUUCUUUACUUACCACAGGUGAGAAAGCCUGCACAGGGAUUGUGUAGACAAGAUGUGGGUCCACUUUUCCCAAGGGGAUUUUAUUGGCUCUCUAAGUUAACAUUGAUUUCUUAAAGGAGUCUGUUUGUAUCCGAAAGCAUGUCAUUCAUUCAAAGCCUUGGGGAAAAUAACCAGUGUCUCCAAUUUUGUCCUGUUACAAAAGAAAACAGCAUGUUAAAGCUAUGUGUAUCAGUUUAUAUGUUUAGUUGUGAGAAGGCCAAUAUUCAUAUCACCUAGCUUUACAAGAAAUGCAGGCCUGAAGAUGAAAAGCAACACAAUUGCUUACAGUUUCUCAGAUCACAAAGCCUUUUAAUCUUACAAAAUAUAAAUCAAUAGAUGAGAAAGAAAAAAACAGAUUAUUGCACUUAUUCAAAUAACUAUACUGAUGUAAGUUAUGAGCACUCACAAAUAAGUUCCAAAUAUUGGAGAAAUCCAGGAGAGAUAAAUGUGCUCCUAAUUUUGUUUAUAGUACACUUUAUUCAAUUGUUAAAAGCUGAAAAGUUUUCUUGGCUUGGAAAAACAAACAAAGGAUUAGCAACAUUUUAAGCAAAAAGUCAUAAAAGUAUUAUUUUAGUCUUAGUUCAGUCCAUGCAAUUAAUUCCUCUUCUCCUUGAUAUUCAUCAAUAUUUUAGCUCUCUGUGAGAGUCCUGAAAAGUUUUCCUCUAUUAUAAUGUCACAAUCUCCAAAGUUAUCAGAAACCUGCAUUUAAGAGCACCUAUUAGAGUCCUAUAGCUGAUUAUAAAACUACAUUUUAAAGGGCAUUGAAACAAAAUAACAAUUGUGGAUGACUAAAUGUCUUUGGACAGCCACAGUUGAAGACACAAUUGACAAGGAAAUUUGUUACCUCUGUGGCACACAAUAAUUUAACAUGACAAUUAUAAUUAUUACUGUAUAGUAAGUCAAACUAGAAUUAUAGGAGUUUUGCAUAAUUUUGAAACACACUGCAAUAACACAUUUAUGCAAAUACAGUCCAAGUAAAGCCAAAUUUUACCUUUGCCUUAGUGUACUAUUGAUGUCAAAUGCAAUUCUUAAUAAAACCUUAUAGAAAAAUUUAUCUAAUGUUAAUCAGUUUGACCAUAAGGUAAGAUUUUCAUUAACCUUUUAUAACCCUUUACAAUUUUCUGUUAAAAAACAGUGCUUUAAGUGCUUUAAGAAAACUGUGCUUUGCUUUUAUUUUAUUAAACUGAAUAAUACGCCUUUAAUUGUAGCCAAUAUAUGCCUAUACAGAAUUUCUUUUACAAGAUUAAUCUUUCACAAACCUUCCAGAACUUGCUUAAACCUUCAGUUUUAUGCUUUCUAACUUC